rnacentral:lncRNA from 10 species
UCUCUUCUGGAAUGGAAGAUCUAACUGUGUUUGGCUGCUGUUUCUUCACGAGCUCCUGGGAUCUGGACUCCCCAAGUCAGAAGUGGAGGAACAGUUAGAGCAAAACAAAAUGACAAAUACUGCACACACCCAAGAGUAAGAGGCUCUAGUGCCAGCCCAAAUAUUUAUACACCAGCCAGCCUCCAGAAUGGGACAGAAGAACCAAUGAAUACCUUUUCCCUGGGGGAUCAUGACAGAGGUCAAAACUGUAGAAUGUUCAGCUCUGAUGAGAUAAACUGAGGCUGCUUGGGAGAGAAUUUUUGGAUCUGCCUGGAAUUUGUGCAAUCUGAAAUGAAGACCAUGGAGGCUCUAUGUGAACCACGAGACUAGAAAGAAUGAUGCCCAUUCUCCUGCUUCCAGGAAGGACUGUAUUUUUACACAUAGUAUUUUUGUUCUGACUAUGACAAAAAUACAUACACAUUUUGGAAAGUACAGAAAAUAAUAAAGAAAAUGAAAACAAUCUACAAUUCUACUACCCAAAGAUGAUUACGAUUGGCAUUUGAAAUUUUCUGAGUUUACAAAAAAAUGCCUUUUAUCCUGCCUUUUAAAAAAUGCAUAGCAUUAUAUCUGAA